AAUCAACGCUGGCGGCGUGCCUCAGACAUGCAAGUCGAACGAUUAAAGCUCUCUUCGGAGAGUGUAUAGAGUGGCGCACGGGUGAGUAACACGUAAGUAAUCUACCUUCGAGUGGGGAAUAACGUCCGGAAACGGACGCUAAUACCGCAUAAUGCAGCGGCACCUAAUGGUGACAGUUGUUAAAGCGGGGGAUCGAAAGACCUCGCGUCUGAAGAGGAGCCUGCGGCGGAUAGCUAGUUGGUAGGGUAACGGCCUACCAAGGCGACGAUCCGUAGCCGGCCUGAGAGGGCGGUCGGCCACACUGACACUGACAUACGGGUCAGACUCCUACGGGAGGCAGCAGUCGGGAAUUUUGGGC
rnacentral:rRNA from 1 species